rnacentral:lncRNA from 1 species
UACCAGCUGGUUUUUUUUUAAUUUGAAAGAUGGUAACUGCUUUUCAGGAGGACACAUAUUAAACAUUUCCCACCCUGUUAUAAUCUACUGCUUUAAAGACAUAACUUUUAUUGUAUCUUGUUAAUUCUUUCUAUCUCUUUUGUUGUUGUUGUUUUUUUUCCAGUAGAUUUAUGCACUAAUAGAUCUUUUGGAUUUGCCAUGCUCUCUUGCUGCAGUUUCAUCUUUCAUCUUUUGUGUCUGCUAAAGAUUUCCUACCUUGUGAGUUUUAACAAAGGGUACUUGAUGUUACUGGGAAGAAACAGUAUACCAUCUGCUUUUGCCUUGGGUGGGAAGGAAGAUACACAUUCAGGUAUUUAAAAGUUUAAGGGUAGUAUGUGAUGUUAACGAUUUUCACUUUUUAAAGGGUUUCGAUUAGGGUGCUAUUUGUAGUACUCAAUAUUUUGGGGGGGUCACCUUUUUUUUAAACAGGCAUUUUGGUGUCUGAUAACUUUGUUAUACAUGUUCCUUAAGUUUGUUCUGUUAUAACUGACAAUUAUGCAAUACUCAUACAUUAGGAAAGUUAAAAACAAAUGAAGGAGUAUGCAGUUCAUUUAAGUGUGCUAUAUUAAUACAAUAAUUCAGUCACUUCCAAGAAAGAAAGAAUAUAGUAAAUAAUUGUUUACAUUUGGGUCGACAUGGGGGGGUGAUUUGGACGCCAAGUUAUCACAAUUUUUUUUUCUUAAAAUAACAUUGUAGUACAGAAGAACUCUAGCAACAGCACAUGAGCCUAAAAAGUCUGUAAAAACCCAUAAUAUGAAUGAAUAGUAAUCGAACAGUUUUCUUUAAGUGAAGUUUUUCUCAGUAUUGGGUGGUAGUUGAAAUAUCUGAAAGUAGGUGCUGUAUCUGUUUUUCAGGUAGUUCCUUGUGGCUGGGGUUGGCUUGGAAGAAGAAACAGAAGUUCUGAGGUGUUUGUGGGAACUGGGGUUGCUCCAAUUACUGAGCUAAGGAGUUCCCAGUAUUUCUGAUGGGGGAGUGACCAGAAACCCAAGUUUUUCCUGCCUAGGGAGUGGCAGAUUCCUCAGUCUUUUAGGGUGCACUCCAGUGCAACCUUCCUUCCAAAGCAAAAGUCAGUGAAGUGAGAAUUUUGACAUUUUGGAGUGCUUUAUUUUCAUACAUUAUUUUAACCCAGUCCUCAUAUAGUAAAUUGUUUAAUUAGGUGAAAAUAAUAGCUUUGUCAUCAUUAUUAUUACCACCAUAUGCCUCAGUCUUAUCUCUCAAGUGAGCUAGCUAACUGUGAAGUGUUCUUAAGAUGCAGCUGCUUUUUAAUAGAGGUCUUACCUUGAAUAUUAAGAACGAUAACUUGAUUAUUUUUUCCUACAACUGAGAGAGAAACUGAUUUUUUGACAUUGAUUUAUUUUGGAAAAUGGGUUUCAAAAUACCUACUUAUGGAAUGGAUUCAUAAAGUUUACAUUUAAUGUUAGAAAUCUAAUUUAAUAUUUGAAAGCAGCUAAGAACACCCUGGCUUAACCAGGACUAAGGAAUCAUAUUUAGUUACAUUAGGGAUAUAUUAACACUUUUUUGAGGCAUUUAUUCAAAAUAUAAGGUUAGUAUAAUCAGAUUGUGGUAAUUGGUUAUUUCUAUUUUUGGAUCAACAUAUAGUUAGCAGAAAAGGACAAAUUACUUUUCUAAGCCUCAGUAUCCCUUGUGUAUGGGAAAUGUAGGCAGUACUGCUCUUCCCACCUCACAGGGUACUGUGAAACUCAAAUAGUAGGAAUGCAGAAAUGCUGUGCAACUGAUAAAUUGCUAUGUAGAAGGAAAAGUUGCAAUGUCAGUUUCAUGUCUGCCAGAUCUUAGUUAUCUACAAUAAAUAAUACCGCGAUAUCUCUUUGCUACAGAGGACUUUUUUUUAAGUUUAUUUAAGUGAUAACAUCUGCUAAAGCAAAAAGAUGUAGAAUGCAAGUCUAUAAUGCAUCCCAAAGCCAAAUGAAAGGAGAAUCGGGAUUUAGCCUUGUAUUUUCUGUUUGAACUAUUUGAUAGCCUAGUAACACAACACAGAUACAUAUUUAAUUAUGGACUCCAUUUAAAAAUGAGAUUUUCUGUGUAUAUACCUUUAAAGGUUGCUGUGAAACAGGUAAUUUUAACAAAGUCUUUGGAGAAUAUGAAAAGACAUUCUCAUGAGUAGCUUGGGACUUCAAACAAGAUUUCCUCACUGCCUUAAUAUUUUUAAAUAGAGCAAAAAUCUGAAAAUGUUUUUUCAUUUAGGAGGAAAGGGUAUGGAACUGUUCAGUGAAAUAGAACAUACAUGGGUUUCUAUUUUGGCUAAAUAUUUGUUUCAAGAAAAUCUGUUGGUAAGAAUUCAGUAGAAAAUCUCAAUUUUAAGCCAGAGUAUUAGGAUAUGUGUACCAAUUAUCAAAACCCUUAAUUUUGGAGUUAUUCUUUAUUCUCCUAAGUAUACUUAUUCCCUUUAUCUUUUUUUGUUUUAGAUUUUGCCAAUAAAGUAUUAAUGUUAAAGUCAAGUGCCAGAUUGCCCACAUUAAGGACAAAAUGAAGUGUUCAGAUACGCAGAAAAAUACAAAGAACAUAAACAGCUAUGCACUUACUAUUUCACCACCUAAUACUUUCCAUACUUUGUGUAAUUUUAAUAUAUGACUUAAAAGAAAUAAAACAUUACAGAUUGAACUGACAUCCUUUAUGUACUCUCCCUGAUCUUAGCCCCUGUAUAUCCCUUCUCCACAGGUAAUCGUUACAUUGAAUUUAGUAUGUUUUAAAUUUAGUGGUGGUUUUUCAAAGAGAAUUUGUUCUGUAUUCUGUAGUCUUGUUUCUUUUUGUACCUUAAAAAAUACUGCAAAUAUUUAUGAUGUUUAUUAAAUGGUAUGAUAUUUUGUUCAACACACUUUAAAAUUUUGUUAAGAUUAGGAUGUCUGGACAUUAAUAAUCCCCUUAUCAAAUCUCAUGACAUUUAACCAAUUUUAAGGUUAUUAAAUCAGUUCCUUUUCAAUAAAUACC